GAUCCUGGCUUAGGAUGAACGCUGGCGGCGUGCUUAAUACAUGCAAGUCGAACGAAGACUUCUCGCUGAAUUGAAUUCAUUCUUUCUUGAGAUGUCUUAGUGGCGGACGGGUGAGUAACGCGUGGGUAACCUGCCUUACACAGGGGGAUAACAGUUAGAAAUGACUGCUAAUACCGCAUAAGCGCACAGUUUCGCAUGAAACAGUGUGAAAAAGAUUUAUCGGUGUAAGAUGGACCCGCGUCUGAUUAGCUAGUUGGUGAGGUAACGGCCCACCAAGGCGACGAUCAGUAGCCGGCCUGAGAGGGUGAACGGCCACAUUGGGACUGAGACACGGCCCAAACUCCUACGGGAGGCAGCAGUAGGGAAUAUUGGACAAUGGGGGAAACCCUGAUCCAGCGACGCCGCGUGGGUGAAGAAGUAUUUCGGUACGUAAAGCUCUAUCAGCAGGGAAGAAAAUGACGGUACCUGACUAAGAAGCACCGGCUAAAUACGUGCCAGCCGCCGC
rnacentral:rRNA from 1 species